GACGAACGCUGGCGGCGUGCUUAACACAUGCAAGUCGAACGGAAAGACCCUGCUUUUGUGGGGUGCUCGAGUGGCGAACGGGUGAGUAACACGUGAGUAACCUGCCCUUGACUUUGGGAUAACUUCAGGAAACUGGGGCUAAUACCGGAUAGGAGCUCCUGCUGCAUGGUGGGGGUUGGAAAGUUUCGGCGGUUGGGGAUGGACUCGCGGCUUAUAAGCUUGUUGGUGGGGUAGUGGCUUACCAAGGCUUUGACGGGUAGCCGGCCUGAGAGGGUGACCGGCCACAUUGGGACUGAGAUACGGCCCAGACUCCUACGGGAGGCAGCAGUGGGGAAUAUUGCACAAUGGGCGGAAGCCUGAUGCAGCAACGCCGCGUGCGGGAUGACGGCCUUCGGGUUGUAAACCGCUUUCGCCUGUGACGAAGCGUGAGUGACGGUAAUGGGUAAAGAAGCACCGGCUAACUACGUG
rnacentral:rRNA from 1 species